GGGGAUGAUCGGUUUCGACAGGGGAAGUCGAAACAGGAGAAGCGAGCCGAGGAACGCGGCAAUGAUCUCGUUAACCAUCUGUCGCAAAAACAUAAUCGCCAACUCUAAGAGCGAUUCCCGUUUCGCCCUCGCUGCCUAAGUAGCGAGAGCCGGGUGUCAGACCGGGGAGUUCCCGACCCGGACCCUGGCAUAAUCUAGGGAACUUAACUGUCCGCUCGGGCUGCGAGGGCGGACGGGACACCAAACAGCAGCUGGGCCUGUUGGCGGCUUGUCCGCGUGACUGCCAGGGCCGAGAAAAGCACAGCGGACUGCGCUCGGAGAAGUCCUGAAUCCACUCCACUGGACCCGGGUUCGAUUCCCGGCAUCUCCACCA
rnacentral:tmRNA from 1 species